UACGGGGGGGGUAAGCGUUGUUCGGAAUUACUGGGCGUAAAGGGCUCGUAGGCGGCCAACUAAGUCAUACGUGAAAUCCCUCAGCUUAACUGGGGAACUGCGUGUGAUACUGGAUGGCUUGGAUUUGGGAGAGGGAUGCGGAAUUCCAGGUGUAGCGGUGAAAUACGUAGAUAUCUGGAGGAACACCGGUGGCGAAGGCGGCAUCCUGGACCAAUAUUGACGCUGAGGAGCGAAAGCCAGGGGAGCAAACGGG
rnacentral:rRNA from 1 species